rnacentral:rRNA from 1 species
AUUGAACGCUGGCGGCACGCUUUACACAUGCAAGUCGAACGGCAGCGCGGGGCAACCUGGCGGCGAGUGGCGAACGGGUGAGUAAUAUAUCGGAACGUACCCAAGAGUGGGGGAUAACGUAGCGAAAGUUACGCUAAUACCGCAUACGAUCUACGGAUGAAAGUGGGGGAUCUUCGGACCUCAUGCUCCUGGAGCGGCCGAUAUCUGAUUAGCUAGUUGGUGAGGUAAAGGCUCACCAAGGCGACGAUCAGUAGCUGGUCUGAGAGGACGACCAGCCACACUGGGACUGAGACACGGCCCAGACUCCUACGGGAGGCAGCAGUGGGGAAUUUUGGACAAUGGGCGCAAGCCUGAUCCAGCAAUGCCGCGUGAGUGAAGAAGGCCUUCGGGUUGUAAAGCUCUUUUGUCAGGGAAGAAACGGUUGGGGCUAAUAUCCCCGGCUAAUGACGGUACCUGAAGAAUAAGCACCGGCUAACUACGUGCCAGCCGCCGCGGUAA